GAGCGCAGCCCAGACUCAAAAAAAGAAAAGCCCAACAUAACGAGGUGUGGGCCUAGGCAAAGAGGAAAAAAAUCCUUACUAGGCAAAAGUGGGUGUACUAAAAGACUUAACAAAAAAACCUACCACCAGCCGUCGGGUAGGGGAUAGUCUUCUCUUCUCUCUCCGCCUCCGCCACCUCCCCCCAGUGGUGGCAGCCACUCGUCGUCGUUCCCCAAUCGACCUCCAGUACCUCGCGCCCUUCGACGGCGUCGUGUUGGGACCCUUCAACCUCGGAUCGACAGCACCUCCUCGUCCCCCCUCCUCUCUCCCUCCAUAACUCUUCUCCCGCCGCCUCUAUAAAACGGUCAGGGCGGUGGUCGUUCCAAAGCGGCCACUACAGCCUUGGCAAGCAGCCGCGGCAAGCUCGGCCUCCCAACACCUAAGAACCCCCGUCUCUAGUAGCUCACCUACGAUACUUGGGUUGAUGCUGGGAUUACUGUCAGGGGGUUUGUGACUCUCAACACUACUCUCGUAACGUAUAUCACUACUUCUUAGACAUAGAUCCUCCUUCUUCAAUAAUCUUCUACGAAAUAAGCAAAAAAAUCCUUCCUCCGUUAGUUUAGUGAGCUCUAAAAGGUUUUAAGACCUUCUUACAGCUGGAAUUUUGACUCGUUUUAAUCUCCGUUUUCCAAUACCCCCGUCCCUCCGUACACACGUCGCAGAAAAGGUGUUUUAUGAAGCAUCUAUAGAACUCCCCAUACAGGUCACCGGCCUUCCUACAGUAGAGUUUUAUGCCCAAACUCGGAGAAGACUUUAAACUCUUUUGACCAUAGGGUAGUGCUAAACAGGCGAUAUAACAGCUUACACAUCUGUGUCACAGUAGAGUUUAGUAACAACGACUACUCUUCUAGUAAGGAUAGAGUUUCCUAAGUCAAGGAACACACAACCCGGACGAUCUGUCACCACUAAAUCGCUGUGUUCUGUUCCUAUCACCCUCCUUGAAGUAAAACAGAGCCAAGUCGAACUCUCUUUACGGUUUGUAAUGAAAGAAACCUCUGUACGAGUAUAGAAGACUAAAAGUGUCGCUCCUUCCGUGAAAGUAUACGAAGUACCACUAGCGUUACAGCACGAAGGAAAAAGGUAGAAGGUCGCUAGUCUAAGUGUAACUCAAAAACUGGAACGAACAAUUAGGUUUCGCGUGUUCACCAAAACUAAAGACACGCGAACACAUACUAACCUAUGAGUGACCGUAGUUGUUCAAACACUAAAGACCGUCUCAUGGACCGUCCUUUGGUCUCCACAAAACUGAAAACGAGCAUGACGUAGUGCCAAUCAGAACAAAUUCACAAAAAAGCGUAGGCAAACAAAAACAAAACAUACAAGACACAGAGGAAAAAAGAAAAAGAAAAGAUAACCCCUUCAUGUCUACGUAAAUUGAUUUUCGAUAACCCCUUACGCUUCCAAUUCUAUCGAAUAUGUUAACUAUUCUUGUCUGACGAGUUCACAAGGACCUUGAUUUGGCCCUAAUCACAGUAGUUAUAUUUAACCCAAACAUAAACGAUCCGUAAAAAAAGUAGUUAAAGGUCUUCGAUUUGAAAUUACGGACCUUAGAUGUAGUUUUAACUUAGUCAAUCAGGGAUUAGUCGAUUCGAAUUUAAAUCGUCAAGUUGAUGACGUUACCUGAGAAAUCUCAAGUCUAAAACAUAACAAUUUCCUACAAUCAAUUUAUACUUUUAUCAGGUACUAUCCAACAGUACAGUUACUUCUCGGGUUCCAGUCUUCUCAUUGUUCAAGCCCUCCUCGUACUUGAUACGAACACCCGCAUCUCUAUUAUACUGUUGAUAAUAUAAGUUAGGUACCAGUUAUUGUUCAAUAUUAUUUUUAUUUUUUAAUCCACAGACAGUUGAUAUUUUAAAUAAUUUAACUUAAGUCACGCAUCACUAUUGAAAUAGCUAUAGGCCAAGUUAGGUACCGGUUAUUGUUCUUUUAGUCACAGUUGAUACUUAACUAAUUUAACCGAAGUCAUGUUAUCUAUCUUGAAACCAAAAUAUAUUGUUUAGCUCAUAGAAUUGCUCGCUUACACUCCUUAGAACAAGACCCCGCUGGCCAGGAAAACAGCAAGUUAGACGACAUUCGUACACGCCACUACUACCCAUCCUUUUCGCCUGGUUCGAUAUUUAGUAAGUAUUGUUUAACUAAUUCAACGGAGGCCAAGUACCUCUUCUGAACUAAAAGAACCAGUAGUAUCAUCUCAAUCUCGAGGGUUACUAGUCAACGACGUCUCGACUCAACAUGUCAACCUUAAGCCACGUCUUGUCAAUCGAAUCUUGAUACCCGGUAACUAAAUCCAUAUCCUAUUAUUAAACGUACAGAAGAGAUGUACAAAUACAAAUAGUACAGGAAAUUUUGACGUGCUUCAUUAUAAUACAGCUGUCAAUUCCAAGACGUGACUGAACGUUGUGUAUAUUCAGUAUCGAGUUCUUGAAAGUCUGUCUGACGAUCUGUAUGACCGUUGGUUUCCCAAAUUAACGUUGAACCUUCGUGUUUUUUAAGAGAUCUCACGGUCAAAAUUUUAGUAAUGGUACGUGUUAACGUACAGUAAUAAGUUAUGACAUGUGUUUAUAUUGAACACCGAUUACUCAGUCUUUAGCUUAACUUGAUUUUUACGUAUACGGAUCCUUAAUUAAUUACCAAGUUACAAAUAUAUUGAAAUACACGUUCAUGUAUACAUAUUGAAAGUAAAGUAUUAGUGGAGGUAUCUCCUGAUUAUCUUAUCGUUAGAUGUUGACUUAAGACGUUUCGUACUAAUUCAUUGACCGUUUAUAUCCGACCUGUGUACUUUUGAAGUCAUUGUCUUGUACCACUAAGUAAUCUCUAUACGUAUACCCGUUCCGUAACGCUACGUAAGUCGCAUACCCCAGAAGGCGAAUCGACGCUCCAGACGCAAAGCGACUCGGGCGUUACGGAAGGAGAGUAGACCACCAUACGAGACGGACGCACGAGAAGCUGCCCGCAAGUAGAGAACGGAGACGAGUUGACCAUAUAAAAAUGAGCGACGGGAAGAUACCCGCAAGUAGAGAACGGAGAGGAAACAACAGUCUAAAACAGACCGUCGCGAAACCGAGCUUAAGGAUAGAAGUUAUCAAAAUAAAACAGAUCUACGAGAAGCUGCGCGUAAGUAAAGAAGAGAAACGAGCCCACAAUCCGAUAGAGCGGAACGUAACCUUCGUUAUAGAAGUCGUGGUGACCACAAGGAACUCCACAACAUCCUAAAAGACGUACGGGUCACACAUUAAACCAUUUAGGUACUGGGUGUAAACUUCGUUAUAUGGGUCGUGUAACAAUCUGAAUUAUUUAGAUCUAGAUAUCUACUGGUAUGAAGUUACCAUUUUUGUAGCACACUUUCCCAUUUAUGGUAAACUUCAAGGGUGUACGAGGGGACCGAGGUUACGAUAGUACCAUGACCGACAUCCUUGGUAACAUCGAUUAACCCACCUGCUAAGUGUAUACUUGUAAGGUAUACUGACAAGGUGUUGUUUUUAAUUCUAAUGUUCUACCAGUGGAAGUUUAGUAGUUAAUUCUGUAAUACAGAUGUGUAACAAUCUUUUAUGUGUAGAGAAAAAGGGAAUAGGAGGCUGUAGAAUAUUCUUUUACAACGUACAUAUUACUAAUUACUGGAAACUUGGAAGUCGUGGCACCAACCCGUUUUAUGUUAUGACAUCAUUAUUUACCACGUCCCUAUCACUAAUUCAGGGAAACUUUGAAGUUGUUGUACCAAGUAUUUGUUUCUUUUUAUUUAUUAUUAAUGGAUGUAUGCAUCAAAGAGGAGAUCAACGAUUUUUUUGCAUCAAAGAGGAGGUACGUGUGUAAUAACAGAAGAGGCCUGUAGAUUUAAAAUUACUUAAAGAUGUUCAAACGAACCACUCCAACGUAAAGAAUAACGGGUUCAACUUUCAAGGACCUCUUGUCUGGGAGCUACAAGAACCCUUCUUGCUCUCUUCGUGCCGGGUGGUCGCCACCUAUACGUACACUGAACACAUUAAUGUUGGAUAGACCGGAUACUUAACGUCUUUAAUACUUUUAGCAAAACACUCUUGAUUUAUUUAACUAUUACGUAUAUAGUCCUGAUACUUCUAAGUGUUCUUUCUACCGUGGUGUAGCCUCUUUAUCUACCGAAACAGUUUUCCACUUGAGUGGAGGUCCACUACUUUCGCUCCAACUGUACAACUACUUGAGUACACUGGAGGUACCACUGGUACACACUAGAGGUCGCACUAGAGGGUCGAUACAUAGCGGACACGAACUACCACUCAUGAACUCCGUCCCCACAAGCACUUACUGGUUAGGACAUUGUCUUCGACAAAUUUAUGCAUGAGGAUGGUUUAUACCACCUCUACAAACUUCCGCAAUAGUUAGAACAGCCACGAAAGGAAUAGAACACGGACUACAAAUCCUACAUUAUUAAUCCGAUUAAUAACAAUCCUAAGAUGCCAAAAAAGGUACAUAUCAUGAAAACGUGAAUGCUCCCACCCUCCUUCCGAUUAAUACAAAUCAUGCAUUAGUCCCACGCUCCCACCCUGCUUUCGAUGCUCCCACGACUAAAAAACCCAAACAAAGGUAUAAUUGUAAUCCUUGGAAACCCAAACAAAGGUAUAAUUAUAAUCCUUAGAAACCCAAACAAGGUACAUACUGAAACUGCGACCCUCAUCUCUGCGCACGCUAACCAAAUCCCAAAAAAAAGCG
rnacentral:rRNA from 1 species